rnacentral:misc_RNA from 1 species
GAAAUGCGAUAAGUAAUGUGAAUUGCAGAAUUCAGUGAAUCAUCGAAUCUUUGAACGCACCUUGCGCUCCUUGGUAUUCCUUGGAUCAUGCCUGUUUGAGUAUCAUGAAAUCUUCAAAGUAAAUCUUUUGUUAACUCAAUUGGUUUCUACUUUGGUAUUGGAGGUCUUUGCAGCUUCACACCUGCUCCUCUUUGUUUAUUAGCUGGAUCUCAGUGUUAUGCUUGGUUCCACUCGGCGUGAUAAGUUAUCUAUCGCUGAGGACACUGUAAAAGGUGGCCAAGGUAAAUGCAGAUGAACCGCUUCUAAUAGUCCAUUGACUUGGACAAUACUUUUAUGAUCUGAUCUCAAAUCAGGUAGGACUACCCGCUGAACUUAAGC